UGCAGCAGUGCCUUCCAAAUCUCCCUGCCAAUCUCGCCCCUUUUACCUGGAAGACUUUUUAAAAGACUGCUUCCCCAGGCCUUGCUCCAAGCUGUUUGAAUCAAAUUCCAUCUUGGUGGGGCCCAGGAAUUGACAUUUUUAAGCAACUCCCAAGCGCACAGUAGGGCAGCCCGGCACAUAACAGGGAUCCGGCGGGUGCUUGCUGAGUGCUUGAAUGAAGAAAUGAAGGUCCAUUUCCUGAUCAAGCAACACGGGUUCUGUAUGUUCUGGAGACAAAAGCAGAGGACGGGCCUGCCCAGCUUGCUCACAGCGGACACCACGGAGGAGACCUGAGCACUUCAAAGGGAAGCGAACCCCUCUCUCCUCUUUGGACCCAACGGUGACUGCGUCCAUUUAAAAACCAGCUUCGCUUUUUCCUUUGAGCACAUUCCAGAGAGCUGAGACUUUGCAGCCUCCACCUGCCCACCCAGAGCAGCCUAGCUGUGACUUCAGCCCUCCCCUCCUUGCCUUCGGGCCUUUGCACACAUCACGUCCUCCACCUGUGGUAUCCUGGGCUCCUUUGUCUAAAAAACCUACACACACUUCAGGGGCCACUUGAAACGCUACCUUCUCCGUGGUUCGCCCAGUCUCCCCAUCUCUGAUUCAUCACCACAUUACAUCUGCAUCCUCCCCACGACGGCCAUCGCCUGAUCACCUGAAUUGCUCGCUAUUUAUCUCCAUGUUUUAUCUCCUCUUUCCUUUCAUCCCACAAAUAUUUAUA